GAUUAACGCUGGCGGCGUGCAUAACACAUGCAAGUCGAACGAUGAAACUUUAAUGAACCCUUCGGGGAGAAUUAAAGCGGAUUAGUGGCGAACGGGUGAGUAACGCGUGAGUAACCUGCCUUACAUAAGGGGAUAGCCUUUGGAAACGAAGAAUAAUACCCUAUAAAACCAUAAAAGCACAUGCAAUUAUGGUCAAAGUGAUAGCGGUGUAAGAUGGACUUGCGUCUGAUUAGCUAGUUGGUGAGAUAAAAGCCCACCAAGGCAACGAUCAGUAGCCGGCUUGAGAGAGUGUACGGCCACAUUGGGACUGAGACACGGCCCAGACUCCUACGGGAGGCAGCAGUGGGGAAUUUUGCACAAUGGGGGAAACCCUGAUGCAGCGACGCCGCGUGAUUUAGAAGGCCUUCGGGUUGUAAAAAUCUUUUGUAUAGGAAGAAAAUGACAGUACUAUACGAAUAAGGUCCGGCUAAUUACGUG
rnacentral:rRNA from 1 species